AAGUUCGAGAAGGUGCUAGAGGAAGAUAUGGAGUUAAUGGAGUUCAAGAAGAUGAUUUUAGAGGAAAUAAUAGUAAUGGAGGUAAUGAAGUUCGAGAAGGUGUAAGAGGAAGAAAUGGAGUUAAUGGAGUUCGAGAAGGUGAUUUUAGAGGAAAUAAUAGUAAUGGAGUGUAAUGAAGUAGAAAUGGCGUAAAGUUAGAGAAGUUGUUAAAAGGCGAAAUAAUAGAGAAACAAAUGAAAAUGGAACAAAUGAUAGCAGAUUAACAAAUGAAAAUCUGGUCAUGGAAAACUUUGAGACUUUAAGUGUAUUCAUUUUAAAAAA